rnacentral:lncRNA from 1 species
UUUUUUAGUUCCUGGUUCUUCCUUAUUUUUAUCAUGGUGCUAAUCUUUGUUUACCCAGGUUCUGACAUUUUUACCCUAGAAUUAAUUACCCCAGAUGGUCGACUCUACUGUGUUUUCCAAGCAAACAAAGAAGGCAGGAAAUGUGAGCUUCCUGAGCAAAUUGCCUUUCCGUUUUAAUAUGAGACUUUGCCUUUUAGAAUCAUAUUUUUCUUAUGUUUACUUUUCUUCAUUAUUAUUAUUAUCAUUAUUAUUAUCAUUUUGGUUUGGAUCUAGUUAGAGUUUCCCUUUUCCAUUUAAAAUUUGGUCCUGAUAUUUUGCUUUUUGCUUCCCCAUGUCUCAAUUUGUUAAAUCUUAUUGUUCUAUGUAAUUUGAAUUGCUACAUCCUUUCUGUUGACUAGCUCCUUGCUCAGAAUAACUUUUCCACACCUGGAACUUUGGCGUAGGAGUUCUUUUCACUUUUAUGCAUUUCCCGCGACAUUACAGGGUGAGUACGUAGCAGAUGAGUGCUUGUGAGCCUUUCCUCUGGGAUUCACACAGAUGGCUCACUCCUAACUUUGGUGAGUCAUUCAGUGGCCAGAUGUUUGCCUCUUUCCUCCUCCCCACUCUACCCCCACAAUUCAGUGUACUGUUCUUUGAAUGACAUCCCCUCUUGUUUUUGCCUCUCUUUCUCCUGAUGCAAUGGCCAAAAUGCUGGAAAUGGCUGCCUUAAAUGUAGGGACCAUUAGGAUCUCGCUCAACACAGAACCCAGGCCACCUGUAAUAACACAGCUGGCUCCCAGUCCUGAAACCCUGCCUUUCUGCCCUGAAUGGGGUGCAGAGAACCAGUCCAGACACCUGAAACUGCCACCCUUCUUCAUCUGUAGGUGCAGGGGCCCUCUGUAUCAGGAAGAGAGCCUCUCUGAAAUCCACUGUCAUUCUGGGCUUUUCCUGGACCAGCUCUCCUUACCUACCCCCUUCUCUAGCCUGUCAGUUUCACUCAUUCAUUGGACAUUUAUAAGCACUAAGUAUGUACCAGGCAUCAUGCUGGCCUUUGGUGGUACCAACAAAUAAAGAGACUGCUAAAUGCAGAAAAAUAGGCACAGAGUAAAGACUUGUAAGUCUGUAAAGGAGUGCUCAGUGAGAAGUCACACAAGCUAAGUUUCCAAGGACCAUUUGCAGAUCACUGCUGAACAUUCUCCAUCCUGCCUACUUUGUAUUAGAGGACUUCUUGCAGGGAGAAAUAUAAUCAGCAGGAUCCUCGCUCAGAGACCUGGCAGACACCACCUUAACCCAGUGAUCAAAGUUAACCUCCCCAGUACAUGUACAACUACUGCUGCCCUGAAAGGAUGCACUGAGAACAUUUCUGUGUCAUUUCUACCACAGAUGCGCUACUUGAAUCUAAUUAUGAAGAGACAAGAGACAAACCCAGAUUGAGGGGCAUUCAGCAAAAUAAUUGCCCUGUACUCUUUAAAAAACGGCAAUGUUGAGAAAGACAAAGAAAGACUGAGGAGCUAUUCCAGUUAAAGUAGGCUAGAGACACUGGGAACCAAAUGUGAUGCAUGAUCCAGGAUAUUCUUUUAUUACAAUGAGCAUCAUUGGGACAGUUGGUAAAAUGUGAAUAUUGUCUGAAGAGUAUAAUAUUGUAUCAAAGUUAAUUUCCUGGUCUUGAGGAUUGUACUGUGGUUAUGUAAGAGAAUGUCCUUGUUUUUAGGAAAUAGAUGUUGAAAUAUCUUGAGAUAAAGAGCAUUAUGUCGGCGACUUAUUAUCAAAUAGUACAGGAAAAUGAGUGUGUGUGUGUGUGUGUGUGUGUGUGUGUGUGGAGAGAGAGAGAGAAGGGAGGGACAGAGGGACAGAGAGAUAUAAAACCAAUGCACCUGGGUGCGGUGGCUCACGCCUGUAAUCCCAGCACUUUGGGAGGCCAGGGUGGGCAGAUCAUGAGGUCAGAAGUUCGAGACCAGCCUAACCAACAUGGUGAAACCCCGUCUCUACAAAAAUACAAAAAUCAGCCAGGCGUGGUGGCACGCGCCUGUAAUCCCAGCUACUCAGGAGGCUGAGGCAGGAGAAUUGCUUGAACCCAGGAGGCGGAGGUUGCAGUGAGCCAAGAUCACGCCACUGCACUCCAGCCUGGUGACAGAGCAAGACUCUGUCUC